rnacentral:rRNA from 1 species
CUACGGGAGGCUGCAGUGAGGAAUAUUGCACAAUGGGGGGAACCCUGAUGCAGCAACGCCGCGUGGAGGAUGACGCAUUUCGGUGUGUAAACUCCUUUUAUAUGUCAAGAAAAUGACGGUAGCAUAUGAAUAAGCACCGGCUAACUCCGUGCCAGCAGCCGCGGUAAUACGGAGGGUGCAAGCGCUACUCGGAAUCACUGGGCGUAAAGGACGCGUAGGCGGGUUGGAAAGUCAGGUGUGAAAUCCUACAGCUUAACUGUAGAACUGCACUUGAAACUUCUAAUCUAGAGUAUGGGAGGGGGAGAUGGAAUUAGUGGUGUAGGGGUAAAAUCCGUAGAUAUCACUAGGAAUACCUAAAGCGAAGGCGAUCUCCUGGAACAUUACUGACGCUAAGGCGUGAAAGCGUGGGGAGCAAACAGGAUUAAAUACCCCUGUAGUC